rnacentral:lncRNA from 1 species
GGAGCUGCUGCCAACAAGGAAGUCUUUUCUCUUGUCGGAUUAGAGACUCACCUCCACAGCUUCACAAAUCAGUGACUAUGUGGAAAUGCAACUUUCAGAGGGUCAUCUGUACUUGUCUUCUCCUCGCCAUUUGUCUGCAGAUUGCUUUCCUGCUGAAAGAUGGCAAAGGAAAUAUACAGGCCAGAAUGUUUUCAUGGAACAAGUUUCAAGAGAAGUCUGAAGCACCAGGAUGGGAUUCCCCGGAGCAGAGAGUCAACUCAACACUGAAGUGUUUUGUUUUGCUGAAAAGUCGCAGAAGUGACACUGUGCUCUGGGUUUUCAAUGGGAAGACAGGCUUUCAGAUGGACUCACAAGAAGCAGAGACGUGUUCAACGUCGGGCACUCCUGCUCAUGGGAAUUUAGUCAUAUGCAUCUGGCAAAAAAGGAAAAUUGUAGUCACAAAUGCAGUCGACGAGGAAAACCUGAGGGCUGAGGGACACGAUAUGAAUUUGAACCUCAAAGUAUUUCACACACGGAACAUCACCUGUCCUGCUGUGCUGAGUGGGGAACAAAAAUUGUGAAAAAAAAGGGCACUGGAAAUGGUGAUGACCAGAUGCUAUUUUUUAAAGCAGGACGGCCAUAAGGUGCCUUAGAGCUAAAAAUCCCUGAAUGUGUGUUUCUUUUUUCCACAAAAAGAAAGUCUUUUUGCAAACCCACCAAAACGUGUUUGCAAGUGGACCCGUUUGGUUGUGAUGUUCACCGACGCUAAAGAGACAAACCGCAAUGCCAGGCGAGAUUUAAAUUCUGCUUCAUUUGCUUCAACCUUUCUCUGCAGUGACAUCUCAUUGUCUUGCAGACCUGCAAGAAUGGGAUUUGAUGUAUAUAUAUUCAUAUUAAAUAUUGCGUAUGGUACUAUGUGUGAUUGUUUUUGUCAUUGUGAUACACAGCACAGUAAAGCACAUGGUGACACAACAAAAUGUGUCCUCUGCUUUUAACCAUCAUCCUUGGUGAGCAGUGGGCAGCCAUGACAGGCCCCCGGGGUGCAGUGUGUGGUCCACGUCCUUACCCUCUAGACCACCACUCCCAGUAGCCAGAAUGUAUCACACCAACAUUACAACAACAACAUUUAUUUCUUAUAUAGCCC